rnacentral:rRNA from 1 species
ACGCUCGACACCUACGGGAGGCAGCAGUGGGGAAUAUUGCACAAUGGGGGAAACCCGUGAUGCAGCGACGCCGCGUGAGCGAAGAAGUAUUUCGGUAUGUAAAGCUCUAUCAGCAGGGAAGAAACUGACGGUACCUGACUAAGAAGCACCGGCUAAAUACGUGCCUGCAGCCGCGGUAAUCUGAGCGGGCUGGCAAGGC